ACAAAUCACAUCUAAGGAAGAAUCUAUGGAGAGUGAGUGCAAACGUGAGAACAGAGAGAGGAAAGAAAAAGUCUUGAGGUAGUCCGAUGAGAAGCCUCCUUAGAUAGCAAGAUCAAACACUUAUGGUGUCAAAUUGGAGCUUUUCUACGCUCGGAUUCAUCUAGGUGAUUAAGCAUUCGGUGGGUUACGACACUCGAGGGCGAGAGCGUAAGUUUUGUUUUAGCAACGAAUCAGAUAGAGUAGAUUCGGCAGAUCGAGGACCAUCUUCAACUUCUUAGAGUUCUGUCCGAUUCUGGUGAGCCCGACACUUGCUGUCUGGGUAGAUUCUCUAACAUUUUGUAUCCUGCUAUUCUGUAUAAAUUUAUGAUCUUAGAAGCUCCGUUGACUACAGAUAGGAUAUUUUGAUAUGUAUGGUCGA